rnacentral:lncRNA from 1 species
GUUAAAUCUGAAGUAGAAAGAGAGAGUGAUCACGCAAGUCACUCCAGUUGGCGGCAGAAAACGUGUUGUUUUCAAUUACUCCAUGUAAGAGCUCAACCAAAGGAAAAAGCAACUUUCCAGGAUGAUGUGCUGAGAGAAAGUGCUGCCACAAAGCAGUGAGCAUUUGCCCCCGAGAAAAUAUGAUUUUCAUCACGCCACUGCUCUCGCUGCAAUGCUCAUUUUGACGAGCUGUGUUCCUGGUAAAAUGUUAUUGUUGGCAAAUGCGGAUGAUGGAAGACAGCGCGGGGCGGCUCCCUCCUCGCUGGAGAUGUGCAAAUUGAAUGCAGCACCUCACCCGGGGGACAGGCAGUAAGAAGAGCUGAGACAAGGGUGGAAGAGGAAGAGUCAAAUUUGAGAGCCACCCAAGGAGAGG